CAGUGGUAGAGUGAGGUGUAGUGCCCUUCGCUCCGCCGGGAUUACGAGUGACUUGUGAUUCGGUUCUUCGCUGUGGGACAAAAAAGGCGCUUAGCCGAGGAAUAAAAGAGAUAUUUCACUUAUGCUGGAUAUCUAAAGAGUGUUGAUGAUAUAAGUGAAAAGUAAAGGAUAAGAUUUUAGAGAGAAAAUUGGUUAGUGAAGUGGAUUUUAAUUUGUUUGUAUAAAAUUAUUGUGAGCCAUGGGGCGCAAAGGAUUCUACGACGUCCAGGGAAAUGGCGAUUCGGGAGGCGAG